UACGUAGGGACCGAGCGUUGUCCGGAUUCAUUGGGCGUAAAGAGCUCGUAGGCGGCCACUCAAGUCGAAUGUGAAACCUCGAGGCUUAACCUCGAGCCUGCAUUCGAUACUGGGCGGCUAGAGUCUGGUAGGGGGAUCUGGAAUUCCUGGUGUAGCGGUGGAACGCGCAGAUAUCAGGAGGAACACCGGUGGCGAAGGCGGGAUCCUGGGCCAGUACUGACGCUGAGGAGCGAAAGCGUGGGGAGCAAACAGG
rnacentral:rRNA from 1 species